GACAAUAGAAGGAAGUCAGUCAAUGCAGAAGCUGGUGAGCUCGGAGUCAAAUCCUGUGGUUAGGAUGGAGAGCAACUAUUUUCCCCCUUUGUUGUCGUUAGCAAUUUCUACUUGGAUAACGGGUUUCAUGCCAAAGCAGCAGCACCUUCCUAGAAUCUGCGGACCUGAAGAUGCUUUGUAUUGUUCAGUUGGAAGGAGAUCCCAAGAGUUCCUGCUACUCUGUGGCCAUCUUAGCUCAGCCCCCUGGAAAGAGUUAUUUGAAGAGUGGCGUCAUGGGAGAAGUAUUGGAUCUGGAGUCUGACAUGGAUUAAAGUCUUGGAUGUAACACAACUACAAUAAGGUUAAAAAAAUGUAAACUCCAUAAAUUUCAGUUUUUUCAUCUGUGAUAUGGUAUUAAAAAUAUAUCCACUACCUCAAAAGAAUAUUGUGAGGAAACGUUUUAUAAAACAUAAAGCAUCAUAUAUAUUUAAGUUGUUCUUACUAUUGUUUUAUUAUAACAAAAAAGAAACACUAGAACAAUGGAAUGUACAAGGCAAAAAUUUAUUAAUUAGAAUUAGAGUGAGAAAACAGUUUUGAAUGCUUUUAUUAACAUAUGAAAUUAUAUUUAAAAGAUGUUCUCUACUACUCAGAACCUGAAUAUAUUCAAAUAGAUUCUCUCAGGACAUUUAUUACUCCCUUAUUUAAAAUGAAGUAUCACUGGAAACAGUAUUAGCCUUUUUAGUUCAUCACAGAAUAGUUCUAUGAUGUAGUGACCUAAUAAUUCAAUUUUUCAAGGCAGGAUUAUAAGAUAUUUUGGAAAACAAUGCUCUAUGGUGGAAUACCAGACAAAAUAAUUUUCUUUGAAUUGAUAUGUUUAUGCAGUGCUCUGCUCACAAAUACGUCAGUGGCUACCCUCUUAACUGAUAAAUAAAGUUCAACCUCUUGAGUCUGGCA
rnacentral:lncRNA from 1 species